GGUAGUGUAUCGACUUAGGCGAAAGAACAUUUUUCACUAAUUCUAUCGUCAAGCACUUACAAGUUCAGUUGAAUCUCUCCAGUUUCCAGUGCGCAUGGUCUCUUGUCUUGUGACAAACGUAUGUAAAACUCCCGUCAUUUGCUGAUCAUUUGGAUACCAUCUGCGGUCGAUAAACUACCACAGAGCGGCUCGGUUCCAAUUCCAAAUUUCUGACUCGGACACUGCCGCACUGAGGACUGAGGUCGUCGUCUGGUGAGUCAGAUACGA
rnacentral:lncRNA from 1 species